rnacentral:rRNA from 1 species
AUGCCCCCGUCGCCGCCGGCGAUCUCGCCGGCGCGGCUGCACAAGCUGGUGACAGCGCAGGCGGACCCGCUCCUGGCGCUCGAGCUCGUCAACGUCACCUCCCCGACCACCACGCCUCACCCGGCCACCCUCCACUCACUCCUCCUCCGCCUCUCCCGCCGCCGCGACCACCUCCCCCACGCGCUCGCCCUGCUCCGCCGCCUCCCGUCCCCGCCCUCCCCGCGGCUCCUCCUCCCGCUGCUCCUCUCCGUUCUCCGNNNNNNNNGCCCGCCCCACCUCUUCCUGUCCACCUUCAACACCCUCUUCGUCGCCGGUCCCAGCCCCCUGUCGCUCCACCCGCAGCUUCUCCUCCGCCUCCUCUCCGCCCUCUCCUCCACCGCCGCCUACUUCCCGUCCGCGCUCCACCUCCUCCGGCUCGUCUCCUCCCGCCUCCCCCUGCCGGCGCCGCUCGUCCUCGCCUCCCACAACCUGCUCAUUGAGGCCGCCGCCCGCUCCGGCCACCUCGCCGUGUCGCUCUCUCUCUUCCACCGCCUGCGCUCCCUCCACGUGUCUCCCGACGGCCACACCUACCGCAUGCUUACCCAGUCGCUCUGCCGCCGCGGCCAGGUCCGCACUGCCACUAUCCUGCUCGACGAAAUGCUUCACAGGGGCAUCCCUGCCGAUCCUCUGGCGUACACCACCGUGCUCAACGCCCUCUGCCGCGAGAAGCAGCUCCGCGAGGCCUACCGAUUGCUGUGCCUCAUGCGAGGCCGCGGGGUCUCGCCUGACAUUGUGCACUACAACACCGUCAUUGUCGGAAUGUGCCGUGAGGGGCGGCCACUGGAUGCCUGCAAGGUGAUUGGUGAUAUGACGGAUAAUGGCUGCAUACCGAAUGCAGCGUCGUAUGCAACGGUGGUGAAUGGGUUGUGCGUUAGUGGGUUGUUUGACAAGGCAGAGACAUACUUGGAAGAUAUGGUGAGUAAAGGGAUUGUACCACAUUUUUCGGUGUUCCAUUCGGUGAUCAAGGGGUGUUGCACAGUGGGAAAGGUAGAGGAGGCUGCUAGGAUGAUGAGUCGGAUGCUUGAUAUUGGGAUGCCUCCACAUGUUGAGACAUGGAGUUCAGUGAUCAGCAGUAUUUGUAGCGACGAGGACUAUGUUGAGGUGAUUUUGUUGCAAAUGCUGAAAGGAAGGGGGUGCUGCUCGAAGACGAUCUCGAGGAGUACCUUGUGA